rnacentral:rRNA from 1 species
UACAGAGGGGGCGAGCGUUGUUCGGAAUUACUGGGCGUAAAGGGCGCGUAGGCGGCCCGCUAAGUCGAACGUGAAAUCCCCAGGCUCAACCUGGGAACUGCGUCCGAUACUGGCAGGCUUGAAUCCGGGAGAGGGAUGUGGAAUUCCAGGUGUAGCGGUGAAAUGCGUAGAUAUCCGGAGGAACCCCAGAGGCGAAGGCGGCAUCCUGGCCCGCUACUGACACUCAGACACGACAGCAUGGGGAGCGAACGGG